rnacentral:rRNA from 1 species
UACGAAGGGGGCUAGCGUUGCUCGGAAUUACUGGGCGUAAAGGGCGCGUAGGCGGAUGUUUAAGUCGGGGGUGAAAGCCCGAGGCUCAACCUCGGAAUUGCCUUCGAUACUGGACAUCUUGAGUACGGGAGAGGUGAGUGGAACUCCGAGUGUAGAGGUGAAAUUCGUAGAUAUUCGGAAGAACACCAGUGGCGAAGGCGACUCACUGGCCCGUUACUGACGCUGAGGCG